rnacentral:ncRNA from 2 species
GGAGCAGCUUCUGGAGAGACCGUUCUGUUAAAAACGGCACCGAAGGAUUCACAAUCUCAGGUAAAAGGACAGAAGAUCAACC